AACUAACAGUAAUUUGCGGCUGUAGAUAUUUUCUAGCUUAGAUUGUUGUCCCUACAUUGUGAAUAUGUUGGAUUUUUAUGAGAUUUGGGAUGUGUGGAGAUAAUAACUUAAUAUACUACAGCAGAAUGCCUCCUUAAAAUUAUGUAUGGGAGACAGCUAAAAAAAUGUUUAAAACUUUAAGGUCAAAAUGAAUAUAAUAAUUAUGAGUGUAGUUGCUAAGUUAGCAUUCUCCUGCCCCCUUAAUGCUAGGGACCAACCACUGCACAAACACACCCUCCAUAGAUAGUGUAUUACUCACACGAACUGUUGAGUCAAAAAGACAUAAUGAGGGCUUAAAAUGCAAGAUUUCAUUGCUCUGCCUGUGGCAGAAAUGUUGACAUGACAUUUUUUUCCCUUAAAAUUUGUCUUUGUUGUGCUUGUUAUUUUAUGGCUAUCUAAAUUUGCUCUCUAUUUCUUUCGCACUCUUUCAAACAAGUGGUUUGGACAAUGGAUAUUUGGAGAUACUAUCUAGUAAUUUUGAGCAUUGGCAGAUCCACAUUAUAAAAAGAGGGGUCAAUUAACCCCUCUUUUUAUAUUAAAAUAUUAUGUAUAUAUACAUAUAAAUGUUUAAUUGACCUCUCAACCCUCUUUUUGAUAAAUAUAAAAA
rnacentral:misc_RNA from 1 species